UACGAAGGGGGCUAGCGUUGUUCGGAUUUACUGGGUGUAAAGGGUGCUCAGGUGGAUUUGUAAGUCAGAGGUGAAAUCCCAAAGCUUAACUUUGGUGCUGCCUUUGAUACUGCAAGUCUAGAGUUUGAGAGAGGGCAAUGGAAUAUCUGGUGUAGCGGUGAAAUGCGUAGAUAUCUGGAGGAAUACCGGUGGCGAAGGCGGCAUCCUGGACCGGCAUUGACGCUGAGGAGCGAAAGCCAGGGGAGCAAACGGG
rnacentral:rRNA from 1 species